CCGGCAGCGGUGGCUCCUGCGUAUUUCCUAGGCGGGGGCGGAGGAGGGGGCUGGUCCCGGCUCCGAGCAGCCCUCGCCAGCGGCCGCCUGUGCUCUGCCCCUCUCCGUGGCCCCGUGCGGUUUGGGCUCUGCAGUGAUCGGUGCCACAGCGGGUUAUAAAUAAACACCGAAAAGCCCCCGCUGCUUACACGUCGGAGGGUUGUGUAAGACUUUCGGCUUAAAAAAAAAUAUCCAAAUGAAGCCAUUGUAAUCUUCCUCUGUGAGGGGAAAAAAAAAAAAAAAAAAAGUUCAGAAACUUUCAUACAAGAGCUCAGAAAUCGGCAAACGUGCAAAAUGACCCAAACUUGGAUCUGUCACACCUCAUGAUUGUUGAGCUAAAAUUGAUAACUCGGGGCCCUCUGACGUGAACAGCUUGUAAUCCAGCGGUCACCUGCUUUACAGGCACAGUACAAGUGUAAACGUGUACUACUAAACACGCGGUGGGAUUUGAGUACAAUACACAUAAUGUGAAUUACAGUCAAGGUCGCAGCUAAUGGCUGUGGCAAGUUCAAUUCAACUGCAGCAACCCCCCUGGGAAACAGGAAAAGGUCUUAAGUUCCAUGUACUAAAUCUCACUCAUUUCUCUUCCGGGAGAUUAGGGCUUUGGUUUUGUUUUCAGAGGGAAGAUGUUGUAAAACAAAAACUAAAUUUCAAAGUGUUGGUGUUUUAAGCAUUUUUUUUUUUUUGGUGAUUAUCUUUUCAACCGUAAUGGUUUGGCUUGAAUUUCUAAGUCUUUUAAAUUAAUUUUUUUGGUUUCUAAAUGGUUGGGCUCUGUUUACAAACACUUCAGCUCUUCUGUUCUGCUGGUUUCCUUUGGUAGAGGUGUGUUGUAUUUUAAUGUAUGAUUUAUGUAAGCAAAAAGAAAACCUUGUGGGUAAUAACAUGUUACUAAAUACAAAGGGUUCAAGUGUUUGUAGAACAAACUUAUUUGUGUAUAACUUUUUUUUUUUUUUCAUUUGAAUGAACUGUCAAGUCAGGCUUUAGUGUGGGAGGAAUGGAGCAGCAGGAAGAAGCAGAGGGAGAAGCCAGCAUGACUCUUCCUGAAGGCUUUUUGUCCUAUUGGUAUUGAAGAUAUUUGGCCAAAAUACAGUGACAAUGCACAAGUUUGAUGCAGAUGGCAAGAUAAAGAGUCUCACUUGAGCUAGAGUUAAUGAAGCAUCUACAGCCUUGUCUAAGUUAGUCAUUUGGAACAUGUUAUUUGGAUAAACACGAAAGUGGAAAAUGAAGGCAGAGUGAAGCAGCUCAGGGAACCACAACAAAGAAAAGAAGGAACAGGAAUGUCAGAGGAUGGGUCUAAUCACAGAGGAAGGACAGCAGAAGAAGAGUGGAAGUGCAGGGGGAUCAAGUAGUAGGAAUGGGAGGCUGGGCCAGACCCAAGGCAAUGAAUAAUAGCAGAACUGUGUAUGAAGCCAAUAAUUUUGUUUCUAAUACUUAUUUCUUCAGAAUUUGUCCUUGAACACAGCUCUUCUUCAUGGGUAGCUUACUGUGACUGUAAGAGAAGAAGAGGACUAUCACCCUUCUAAAAGAGGCUUGGGAUAAUUACACAUGACACAGGCUGAGAUCUGCUCUGGCAAUGACUUUAGCCACCACCAUCCCAGAAAAGAUGCUACAACUCAACUACAACACCAGGGUAUGAAAUCGUAUUAACAAUAAUUAUGUUCCCUGCUCCCAGGAAGAGACCUGCCCUUGAAAGUCUUCAGCACACCACCAAAAGAGCAUCUGUCAGGCUAAGCAUCUUUCUGCAUUCUUCUAUUUUGUAGCAGACUACCACACCAAAUUACUUGUGAGGCAUGUAAGAGCCUUAUUCAGGUGUACUCCAACCUCAAAAAAUAAAACUCAUCUGAAAUAAAUGGUUAUUUGCCUAAGAGCAAAAGUCCCUCACGGGAGUGUGGUCCGAAUUAAAAUGUUUGUUGCAGAAACAGAUUUCUUACAGUCACAUGGCAAACAAAUGUAUAUGCACAAUAGGAGACAGAAAAAGGGUUCUUGAGCUGGGCUAUGAUGUUUCCAGUCCCACAGUGCAGAGAUGAGAGUCAUGUCGCCUGGCCUGAAUGGCUGCUUUUAAACAGCCGUGUCCCAGCCUAAGCAGGCCUGUCACACUGGUGACUCUGGUGACUCCACUCUGGCUCUGGUGAGAUGAGCAAGAGACAAGGCAGCGCUGUCAGCUUUUGUAGCCAAGAGUAGCACAGUUAACACUAAGUUCUGGGAAGCAGACAAUACCAGAGAGAGCACUCUGUGUCACAGCUUUACACGUCAGCUUUCAGAAAGCACAUGCAAACCAUUUAUCCAGCAUCUUAUAAAAGCACCAUUGAACGGUUGAACAGAGAGCACCACGUAUACGGAACUGUGUUCAAAACAGCGGACAGGAGCUGUUCAGGGAGCCAUGGAGAAGCACGCAGCCCAGAAGCAUCCCUGCAGGAUGGAUUCCUUGAAGGCACGAUAGAUGAGGGCUUGGAGAACAAGGCAGCUGGUCAUCAGCCAGUUGAAACUAUGGGGAUAACCCAACUCUGAGUUAGUCAUGAAUAUGAAUCCCCACACCUACUCGUCCCUUACUCCAUGGAUCCUGCUACAUGUAAGCAAGUCUGCAAUUUAUAUUAAUAGAAAGACUGAAGCAACGAAUUGUUCACAGUUGACAUGAACACCACCUCCCUGAAUGCUCACUAUUGUAAAACCUAGUUUCUUCAAAAGAAGACAGAUAAUUCUUAUUGCAAAGCUUAGUCAUCAUAGCUACAUUACUGGGCUUUUCACUGGAUGUUUGGGAGUGAGUAUUGCUAUUGUAGGGCUAACUGAGGUCCAGUACAUUAAAUGUGUCUUUAUAAAGAUGUUUCCAACUUGGAACAAGUAAACGUUGGGGUUGUCCCUUUGUACUUUUGAGUUUAACACAUGCAGUAUGGAAGUACUAGCUACUUUGUAGAAAAGGCACUCUUAACUGAUCUAACUGUGGUAAUUAGGUACAUGCCUGUGCUACAUGUAUCUGCAAAGAAUUUACUUCUGUCUGUGGCUGAGAAAGUUAUUCCACACUAUGGUAGAAAAGGAUGACUGGUUUACAUAUUGGAUUAGCACUGGUUUAGGUAUGUGGUAAGAACAAUGCUCAUGGGAGACACAGAUUCAUGGAAGAGAUGUCUGAACUGCAUUUCCUAUUUUCUACCAGUUCCUAGAGAGAAAACAAAAAGACCUUUUUACUAGUGCAGUUGUAUUCUGUUAUAUAUACAUACAUAUAUAUAUAUAUAUACACACACAUUAUAUAUAGUUAUAUAUAAUGUAUAUAUACAUUACAGCUUCUCCUGGCCUUACAGUGGCAAUUUGAUGUGAGAUCUUAUUGUACAGUUGUGCCAAAAAAAGGAAGCAAAGAAAUAGACUGUGAAGCUUCCCCAGAAAACAUCACCAGGUAACCAAUACUUCAUUUUGGAUGUUGACAUCUUCUUUAGGGAUAUGGUGAAAGAG